CCGUAGCGAGGCGUUACUGGACCCGCGUUUACUUAAACAUGGCGCGCACUAUACUUGUCCUUAAUUAACCAUUAGCUUACCAAGUCUGGAAGCUAUUGCGCUUUGUUUCGCUGCCUUGCUCGCUGCGUAGUUGCCACAAACGGGCUUGGGGUCGAGGAGGUGCGAAAUCCCGAACUCGCACAGACUUCUGCAGCGGAGUGAAGGGAGGCGCAGCUUCGCAGUUAGGGCUGCGCUUGGCCUCCCCGCGGCCUCACGACAUACAGAAGGUCAAAGUGAACGCGACGGAGCACAGCGGCCGGGCUCAGGAGCGUCCUACGAGGAGUCGGCAUCAGCGGCAUUUCGAAUCUGGCCUCUCCGCGCUCGCACCUGGAGCGUCGCCGUAACCCGCUGCUGAGCGCGCUGGGUUUAGCUAUAUCAUAGGUGUAUUGGGCUCUCAGGCACCUGCGAAAAUCGUGCCGGUGAGAAGCUUCGGCUUGCGCAGGCACGGCGUGCCUCCCGAACCCAGCUUGGUCCCGCGCCCACCACCUCCCUUUCCCCUCGCACCCCGCAUCCGCCCCUCCCCACACUGCUGCCAUCCGUCGAUUCCAUCAUGUGUUGUGGCAAUCAUCACCUCCUCAAAGCCCGCUUCAUUUGCCCCUCCUCCUCGCCACGCACUGUCAACCUGGCCGCCUCAACGGUCGUCCUCUUCAGUGCAGCCGUGCAGUACAACUCGCUGCUGGCCGCCAGUGGCCAGGAGGAUGCGUUGCCUCCACGCGCUCCUUCAGGGCACGGCCUGCAGCUGCAGAUUAGUGCGCGCUAAGCUCACUAGUCUUCUUGUUCUUGAUUGUAGCCUGGGCUUGCAGCACACAGUUGCGAGCCAUUAGACAGACACGGCGGCGCUCAGACUCCCGCACCGCCACGGCCUCGGGGAGGCUUGGGGUUGCCCUUGGGUUUCGUGCCGGUGCUGGGCGUGCUGGGGUCGGGCUCCAUGGAUCCGGCCUGCACGUGUCGAACCCGAGUUCAAAUCCCGUCAGGCUGUCGCCCCCUUCUGAAGGGAGGCGCAGCUUCGCAGUUAGGGCUGCGCUUGGCCUCCCCGCGGCCUCACGACAUACAGAAGGUCAAAGUGAACGCGACGGAGCACAGCGGCCGGGCUCAGGAGCGUCCUACGAGGAGUCGGCAUCAGCGGCAUUUCGAAUCUGGCCUCUCCGCGCUCGCACCUGGAGCGUCGCCGUAACCCGCUGCUGAGCGCGCUGGGUUUAGCUAUAUCAUAGGUGUAUUGGGCUCUCAGGCACCUGCGAAAAUCGUGCCGGUGAGAAGCUUCGGCUUGCGCAGGCACGGCGUGCCUCCCGAACCCAGCUUGGUCCCGCGCCCACCACCUCCCUUUCCCCUCGCACCCCGCAUCCGCCCCUCCCCACACUGCUGCCAUCCGUCGAUUCCAUCAUGUGUUGUGGCAAUCAUCACCUCCUCAAAGCCCGCUUCAUUUGCCCCUCCUCCUCGCCACGCACUGUCAACCUGGCCGCCUCAACGGUCGUCCUCUUCAGUGCAGCCGUGCAGUACAACUCGCUGCUGGCCGCCAGUGGCCAGGAGGAUGCGUUGCCUCCACGCGCUCCUUCAGGGCACGGCCUGCAGCUGCAGAUUAGUGCGCGCUAAGCUCACUAGUCUUCUUGUUCUUGAUUGUAGCCUGGGCUUGCAGCACACAGUUGCGAGCCAUUAGACAGACACGGCGGCGCUCAGACUCCCGCACCGCCACGGCCUCGGGGAGGCUUGGGGUUGCCCUUGGGUUUCGUGCCGGUGCUGGGCGUGCUGGGGUCGGGCUCCAUGGAUCCGGCCUGCACGUGUCGAACCCGAGUUCAAAUCCCGUCAGGCUGUCGCCCCCUUCACUCCGCUGCAGAAGUCUGUGCGAGUUCGGCCGAGACCCUCAUCGGCGCCCCUGCCCAGCCGCACGUUUCGCCCCCAAACUUGAUGUCAACCUCUCCAAUUUGAGCCCCGCUUUCCACAGCGUCAAGCCCUAAUAUCAGGCGAGGCCUGGCGAGGUUUUGCCCGCACCCCCGUCCGCUUAGGAGUACGGCAGAGCCCCGGAAUCUAUGUCCUUGCGCGUCCGCUUGGCAUGCAGGUCUGUACCCUGUGAAGCUUAGGUGACCUGGUGACUAGCUGGGCUUGGUUGGACGGCCAAAGCCCCUUGUCUCGCGUUGUGCCCCCACAUGCGAACACACCUUGGAGUGUCCUAGCGCCCGGGCUCUUGCUAUGGUGAAAGCGCUACGUUUGAUUUCUGUUGGAUGCGGGCGGCGUGGGCAGGGUGCGUGUGUGGGGGCAACAUGCGACAAUGGACAAGGCGAAGUUCGGUCAAGGGCUUUUGGAUGGCCCUGCGCCUUCUGGGCCAUAUGCAUAUAUGCAUAUAGAUUGUGGAAAGUGGGGCGGGCGGGUUCGGAGGUGCGCAUAGGGGGUCGGAAUGGGGGCUCCGGAUGUGGGGGUCGGUUCGAGCUGGUGAGCUUAAGUGCGGCGAGGGGCCGUAGCGAGGCGUUACUGGACCCGCGUUUACUUAAACAUGGCGCGCACUAUACUUGUCCUUAAUUAACCAUUAGCUUACCAAGUCUGGAAGCUAUUGCGCUUUGUUUCGCUGCCUUGCUCGCUGCGUAGUUGCCACAAACGGGCUUGGGGUCGAGGAGGUGCGAAAUCCCGAACUCGCACAGACUUCUGCAGCGGAGUGCCCUCAAACAGUUCUCUGCCACUCGGCAGAGGACGCCCUCGCCCUGCUAUGUUUGCUUUUAAGGCCCAGUCUCCACUAGUAACGCUAUGUGGCGCACAGGUGCGCCUUGCAGCGGCCAUAACGCUGGGUUGUUGCAGGGGUGGUGACGUCGUUGACCGAGCGCAAUAUUUAUCGCCCACCUUCAAUUCGUUCAGGUUCAGGCUCAACAAAAGCAUUUCAAAAGGCUACAGAGCCAUCACGCGUGGCGCAGGUGAGGCGGGGGUACCAUCCGCGCGACUUGGUUGCUAGCUCCCGAGGCUGUCAGCUGAGAGCAUGCGCAUGCUAAGGUGUCUGUAUAAUGGCACCGUACAAGCCUGUCAUCAGUUCAUGCUCAGUUCUCAGUCCUGGUACCCUCCCGCCCUCCCUCAGGACUCCGGCCGCACGAAGGGCCACCCGUGCGGACCACCCCUGGGUGGGCUAGACGUGGCGCACUCACACGUUAACCCCAACAGGCAAGUCUAUGUCCAGAUAUUAUUUCGCAAUUGCUGAAGUAAGCACUGCAUGAGUAGCGUGUCUGCAGCUGAACAUGGGGGGAAAGGUACCUUGCGUCUUACCCUCUGAUAUGCCUGGUUUUGUGGUUUGGUUCCUGACCGAAUCGUCCUGAACACUAUGCAGGCUUACGAAGGGCAGCACGGGUGUGGCUAGCUGUGGACUGGAGCGCUGGCACCGGCAGCAUGCGGAGUCUGCGGUGGCACUGUGCAGCAGGUCGGACGUUGUGGUUGAGGUCGUUGUGUGUUUGGCAAGACUUAGUAUGGGCACACCUCUGCCGCUUAUGCCUUGGCGGGUGGCGUUUGGUUGUUCCGCGGAAGUGGCUACAUGCACAUCUGUGGCUAGCUACGGACUGGAGUGCCGGCACCGGCAGCAUGCAGAGUCUGCGGUAGCACUGUGCAGCAGGUCGGACGUUGUGGUUGUCGUUGUGUGUUUGGCAAGACUUUAGUAUGGGCACACCUCUGCCGCUUAUGCCUUGGCGGGUGGCAUUUGGUUGUUACCCGGAAGCGGCUACAUACGCAUCUGUAUUCAUGUUACGGUAGGGCACGUUCGGUGAGCGAGGAGGUCGAUGGGUGACAGGGCAUGUGGAGCGGGCAGACUUCCUUUCCAGGGUGUGCGAUGGCGGACUAAAAGCCUAAGGAGAGGCUGGUGGAUGGAGGCGGACUCACGCCUUCAGAGAAACAGGCCGAAUCCUCGUUUACACUGGACGCACGGCACGUGCCGUUGCAUGAACUGUAACACAAAUGAGCAGUUGAGGGAAUUGGCUUCGUGUGCCCUACGUGUGCGUGCAUGCAUGCGGGUGGGAAGCGUGCAGUUGGGGGCAGCUGCUUGCGUUAGGUAACGCACAUGCGUCCCGCAUGCGCCAUGGCAUGCUUAGUACUUCACGCAACCGGCAUAUGUGCUUCAAGCAUGCGUAUGGCAUGCGUUCGGGACGCAUGCGUACAUCCAGAAAGAGUCGCUGCGGCCGCUAGCCAACACCAGCAUGCGUUAGGUAACGCACGCUCUGGUAGCGCACGCAUGCGUAUGGGCGGGCACCGCAUGCGUACAGCACAUGCUUUUCACGCGUUAAGCAUGCGUUUGGGCCAUGCGGCACGCAUGCUAACGCAUGCUCUAACGCAUGGACCCGUCGUUAUAGUGUGGCGUCAGGGCAGGGCGCCAGCAUAGUCUGCAGCCACUCUGCGUCACGCCGCCGCCCAGGCGGCCAGCAAAGCCGUCGCCGACUUUGGUACUGUCAGUCCCUGCACGUUGAUCGCUGUCUAGCCAAAAGCCAUAUCAGUAUCAGAGACGCCGAGUAGGGCUGAGUACUUCUGUGCCUGUCAUGCCCUUGCGUCUGUACCACUGGUUCGCUGGGUACGGCCGGCUAAUGCAGGAAUAAGGGAUGUCAG
rnacentral:lncRNA from 1 species